UACGGAGGAGGCAAGCGUUAUCCGGAAUUAUUGGGCGUAAAGCGUCCGCAGGUGGCUAUGUAAGUCUGCUGUUAAAGAGUGAGGCUCAACCUCAUAAAAGCAGUGGAAACUACAUGGCUAGAGUGCGUUCGGGGCAGAGGGAAUUCCAGGUGUAGCGGUGAAAUGCGUAGAUAUCUGGAGGAACACCGGUGGCGAAGGCGGCAUCCUGGACCAACACUGACGCUGAGGAGCGAAAGCCAGGGGAGCAAACGGG
rnacentral:rRNA from 1 species